CUUUUGCUGACUCUCCUCAAGGGGAAUGCUGCCAGGUAGGUCAUCAUCCUGCUUCUGGUCUAACUGCUUCUGACUGAGGAAGCGGCAGGCUGCCUUUAAUCCCAGCACUCUGAAGGCAGAGGUAGUCAGAUCUCCAUGUUCAAGGCCAGCCGGGUCUCCAGAAGGAGUUCCAGCACAGCCAAGGCUACACCCAAGAGAAACCCUAUCUUGGAAAAAAAAAAGGGGUGGGGGGGAGUGGUAGUGAGGACACACAAGCCUGGCUGUGGCACCAGCUUAAGUGAAAGGCUGCUAAUAGGAAAAGAAGCCUCACUCCUUUGGGGGGCGGGGAACAAAAACAAGAAAGAAAAAGAAAAUACCAAACAAGCUUACCUGCAGCCCCAUCUUAUAGAGGCAUUUUCUCAACCGAAGUUCCUACCUCUUUGAUGAUUACCAAGUGGACAUAAAACUAGCCAGCACAUUUGAUAAAAAGAUGAAUUCAUCUCCGCCCAUGCUGAGCCUAAACUGACUGUGUUUUAGCUGAGUCAGGGUGUCGGGUAGGCCAUGGGACGCAUGGCUUCAGAGCUCAGGAAAGGACUAGAAGUCGCGGAGUUGAAAUACCUGAAGUGAUUUGAGUAGAUGAGGUCAUUGGGAGAGCCUGGACACACAGCCUCAUUUUAGGGAUGGGCCCGGGUUGGUAAGCAAGCAGAAGAUCAGGAAGUGGAGGCAGCAAGUUUAGACAAGUAGUUCUGAAGGUUUCACUAUAAACAGGGAGGAAUGUAAUGCAGUCGUUAAGUGGAGUAGCCUGAGGCUAAGAGAGGGUGUGUGUGUGUGUCUCUGUGUGGCUGUUGUUGAUGAUGAUGAUAGACAGGACACACUCGUGUUUAAUAAGAAAACAGGGUCUGCUGACUUCUAGUUCAGGGUUAUUGGAUCAUCCCAACCUCCUUGAGAAAGCACUAGCCCAGUUAAUAUCAGGAACUCUGGGUCAGACAGAGACAUAUUCUUUUGGAGGAGACAGCCUUCUUUGUCUCUAGAAAGCCACAGGCUGCUUCCAACCACGCAUGGUGACUCUGCACCCCUGCCUCCAGGAAAUCACUUGAGGAUUGACUCAGAGGAUGAGUUUUUCAGGAUGGCUUAUCUUUCAGGGCCCUAAAGAGAAUUCUCCCAGUGGGCCGGCAGGAGACAUCCUCGUUCUUUCAGGACUCUGCUGUGGGUACCUACAAUGGGGUCUGGUGAUGAAGCUGGAGAAACACUCAGAACCCAGGAAGACAGACAUUCCUUGUCAGCUUCUACAAUGCAGUUAAAUUACUCUGACAUUACUCCGUGCCUGUCUGAUGUCCAGCCCUGCUAGUACAUCUGUGGGUCAAAGUUCACCACUGUCUCCCGCUACCUAGAGACAGAGAAAACAGAAGGAAUAACCUACCAAUGACAACAUAGCCUUCUGGAACCGUGUAAGAGAGCCCCCAGGACAGGGAAUCCAAGAGGACUCUCUCAGGGAGCCCAGUAUUACAUACUUAAUGGGAAAAAAACAACAAAACUAUAAUUUCCAAAUACCAUCAAUUACCUUCAAUCACCCUGAAUGAUCCUGGGCAUAGUCUUCUGCCCUUCCUUCCUUCCUCCCUCCCUUCCUCCCUUCCUUCCUUCCUUCCUUCCUUCCUUCCUUCCUUCCUUUCCUUUCUUUUUAAUGGCAAUGCAAUUUAUUUAAAAUUUAUCUUUUUUUCUUAAGCACUUGUUUCACAACCAGGAGACAGAGCGCAAAUCUUUGCAGAACAUCUACUUCUGGGAGCAAAUUAAAAACAAAUAAGGUUUCCUCUCAAAACCUAGAGCCAUCCAUGGUGCUUGCUGGUAACGUGUCUGUCAACAAAUCCUGUUCGUGUCGCCUUCAAAUGCUCAGAGAUGCACACAUCUCAGCACUCCCUUUGCCUCCACAUCGAACCAAAUCUCCAUCACCUCCACCUGGUGUAAUGCGGGAGCCUUCCGGUGGCGGUGGCGUGCUAUGCUUCUGUCUUCUUCCAACCGGGCCACGCCACACCCAGAACAAGCGGUCCUUUGAAUCGGAGUGCUCUUUUCCGAAUGCAGCAUCCCUACACUCUGCGACAUCAAAACCGCAGUGGCUCCGUCUCACGAAGAGUAAUUCCCUCUCUUUGACACUGCUUGUCUGCUGACACUGUCUACUAGUCACCUGGAUCUCCGUAAGAUGCCCACAGACGUGCUUGCCCACCAGCACGGGCACUUUGCAUUUGAGGAUAUUUUUGCCGACAGCCUCUUUCUCUCAGCCCAGCUUUGCUGGCCUCUGUGAUUCUUGCUUGCCCUAACUGGGACGUAGCAGACCUUCUCACACUGGGCCUGGGCAGUUCCCAAAUCACAACUGAAGACCACGAAGGAAGAAGAUGGCUGACUGAGUGCAUCAUUCUGUUCUACGGCCUGCAGUAGUCAUGGCGACACAGAACACAAUUCUGAAAGGCCUCAGCUUCUAGGUACAUCCAAGUGCCCUUCUUAGGGGCUCCUGAUGUUGUAAGGUAACUGGUUUAACUCCUUCCUCUCUCUGGAUUUGGAUGGUUGAGGGACUUUCUGCAGCACAACUGACCUUUAGCUGCCUUUUGGCCAGCAACGUGCUGCUCAGACUCUGUAUGGGAAAAACACCUGCCCUGUGAUUAAUUGUGUCUUCCCCAGCUCAAAUCUCAGACUAGCCUGAAAAGUUCCACUUGGGUUUAUCACCCACAAUUUUCUCUCUUAGCUGGAAAGUGCAGAAUAUCAUCGCAAAAGCCAUGUAUGAGAGUCUGCCAACACAUGAUAUGAAAAAUGCAAAUAAAAACGAGAUCUAGAUGGGGA